rnacentral:lncRNA from 1 species
CAGGGAAGGCUCAAUUUUUAUGUUUUUUGAUUAUACUCCUGUUCACACAGUUAUACAAUCUGAGGAUCUACUCUAGUAAAAAUGCCAUUUUAUAUUUAAUCUAUGUAUUAUUUGUGUAUAUGUUUGUAUAUGUGCAUGUAAUAUGGGCUAAUUCAUGGAAGAGUGUAGCUUGAUAAGCAAAAAUGUUUUCUCAUUGUUGAUAUGAAUCCAUUAAUGCCAUCUGUGAAGCUAUCUGUAGGAUGAUGACAUGCAAAUUUUCCUUUUACUUUUUUCUAAAUGUAAAGAAUAUUUUUGUGGGUGUGUAGAAAUAAAAGGGCAACACGAUCAUGUAGAAAUGAAUCUGCCCAAAUAUAAAUGGUAAGUUUGUAAUUAAAAUUACAAAAUUAAAAAAGCCUAAUCCUGGCUUCUUCCUUAUCAGUCAAGAUCCUUCAAAGUUGUUUGAGCGCUUCACCUGCAUUUCUUUGUAUCUGUAGUUAGUCCUUGAACUUGCAGAAAGGUUUUGCUAUGGUUUCCUCUUUUGGAGUAUUUUCUCUUGCAAGUGAAAUGGAGAAGGUAAUUUUUAUGUAGUAUUUUUCAUUCAGUUUAGUCUAGUCUUGCAGUUGGACACUUCAUUUGGCAUAUGGUCUUUGGAAUGAUCACGGUUGUCCAUUUCCACUGAGUUCUGUUGGUUGUCCUUAUGAAAAGUAGCUAACAAAAUGUCCUUGAGCAGUUUUCUUUAAUCAUCUGGAGUUGAUCUCCUGGCUCAACAUCGGUAGAUGCUUCCUUGGUGUGAAAUUUGGGGCCUGUUUUAGGUCCUUCAUAUGUGUUCUCAUUUAGUCCUCAGGGCAACUCUGUGAGAUGGAAACUGAGUGAAGCUGAAGGAGGUGGAAAUUUGCUCCAGGGAAACAGCUCUCACGCGACAAAGGCGGAAGGCAAACCUAGGUCUCGCUGACUCCAAGUCUGUGUUCUUUCCAUCACUAGGGAAGAAGAGGCACAUGAAUGACUGAAACUAAAAACAAACGUUAAAACGCUAUCAAUUUUGCACAUAAUAGAAGGGAGAAAUUAUGAUCACUACAAUGCUGGGAAUGUACAUCUUAACAUAUUGCUCCUAAUUUCUUAUCAGCAGAUUUUAAAAAUGCAUCUAUCUAGGUUUGCUUUAAAAAUAGAUCAGUUAGAAGGCAAAAUUGUACGAGUGGAUAUUAUUAAUGAUACUGAAUUUCCAUGUAUGUGAACUAGCAUUGAGUGGCACUUUGAUAACACUCAUCUAAUCCUAUUUAGUGCCCUUUCUCUCUUUUGCUGUCAAAGCCUAGGUACGGGUUCGUGCUUUGUCUCAUAACCUCUUGGUUAAAAUGUAACAUCUGGGCCGGGCGUGGUGGCUCACGCCUGUAAUCCCAACACUUUGGGAGGCUGAGGUGGGCAGAUCAAGAGGUCAAGAGAUGGAGAACCUUGUCUCUUGACAUGGUAAAACCCCCUCGCUACUAAAAAUACAAAAAUUAGCCAGGUGUGGUGGCAGGCGCCUGUAAUCCCAGCUACUCAGGAGGCUGAGGUAGGAGAAUCGCUUGAACCCGGGAGGUGGAGGUUGCAGGGAGCCGAGAUCACGCCACUGCACUGCAGCCUGGCAACAGUGCGAGACUCCGUCAAAAAAAAA